GUGCCAGCCGCCGCGGUAAGACAGAGGGUGCAAACGUUGUUCGGAAUUACUGGGCGUAAAGCGCGUGUAGGCGGUCUGGUAAGUCGGGUGUGAAAGCCCGGGGCUCAACCCCGGAAGUGCAUUCGAUACUACCAAACUAGAGUACUGGAGAGGAUGGUGGAACUCUCGGUGUAGAGGUGAAAUUCGUAGAUAUCGAGAAGAACACCGGUGGCGAAGGCGGCCAUCUGGACAGAUACUGACGCUGAGACGCGAAAGCGUGGGGAGCAAACAGGAUUAGAAACCCGUGUAGUCC
rnacentral:rRNA from 1 species